rnacentral:rRNA from 1 species
GUGAACGCUGGCGGUAGGCCUAACACAUGCAAGUCGAACGGCAGCACAGUAAGAGCUUGCUCUUACGGGUGGCGAGUGGCGGACGGGUGAGGAAUACAUCGGAAUCUACUUUUUCGUGGGGGAUAACGUAGGGAAACUUACGCUAAUACCGCAUACGACCUACGGGUGAAAGCAGGGGAUCUUCGGACCUUGCGCGAUUGAAUGAGCCGAUGUCGGAUUAGCUAGUUGGCGGGGUAAAGGCCCACCAAGGCGACGAUCCGUAGCUGGUCUGAGAGGAUGAUCAGCCACACUGGAACUGAGACACGGUCCAGACUCCUACGGGAGGCAGCAGUGGGGAAUAUUGGACAAUGGGCGCAAGCCUGAUCCAGCCAUACCGCGUGGGUGAAGAAGGCCUUCGGGUUGUAAAGCCCUUUUGUUGGGAAAGAAAAGCAGCAGGUUAAUACCCCGCUGUUCUGACGGUACCCAAAGAAUAAACACCGGCUAACUUCGU